CUACUUUUUUUCCACAUAAGUAUUUAAAUAUCAAUAAUAAGGAACUCCUUCUAGAAAAAAACACACAUCAAUCAAGGUACAGGAAAUGCAUGUUUUACUUUGUGUGUGCAUGUAGCAUGUGUUUUACACCACAGAAGUCUGUGAGGUUUAUCAGCUAUAAUUACAUCACUCUCGAGCUUUAUCCUUGUUCUGGAUUGGAUUCAUUGUAUGACACUGGACAAUACAAUGGCAGUGAUAUGCUGUGCUUGUUUUUUAGUUAGCAUUUACUACAAAAUUACCUUUUCUCUCCUCAUCUACUAGGUGAGCUUGCAUGCCUGAGCUUGUUUGUUUAGAUUGAACUGUCCCCCACAAAACAGAAGUUCUUGAAUUAGGCACAUUGGAAAACAUUUUGUUUCCUUCUUCUGUUUCACCCAAUUACUGUUACUUAUAACUCAAGACUGAAGAGGGAGCAGAAGCUGCCACAGGGAGGAAAGAGGUGGCAUCCACAACUAUAGGCAGUAGGUGUCUGAAUGUCUAUUAUUAUGUUAUGUAAACCCAUAAAAUUAACCAUAAUUUAUCUCAAUGAACAAUAAUUCAGAAUUAGUAAAUGCAGAACCGUGAAAAUUAAAUUUUAAUGCAGCAUCAUUUUAUGUAUUGGUGAAAAAGAAAAUAAAAGGAUAGGUCUGUAUUUACACAGGGAAUCCAAAAGCAGGACUGCAGUCAACGAAUGCAAAAGCAGCAGAUGGACUCUGAAGGGAAGAAUGGCCCAGUAAACUAACAGAUAUCUAUAUUUACUUUAUUUUACAUUUGCCUAGAUGCUUCUUCACCAAGUGGUCUUUGGCUGUCACUGCAAAUCUGCCUUUUGAGCAUCUCCUUGUGAUUCAGAGAACAUGUCUUACCAGAGUUGAAGUAUCAGAGUCCUAACCAGAGCAAACCAGGCUUUCCACCUCAUUAGAAAAAUACAUCUAUUGGUAUACAAGGUGGCAACUUCUAGUUACCCUUAUUACACGAGGGCCGUAACUGAUGUCAGCACAGCGAUCAGAAGAAAACCCAGCC